AAUAAAUAUAAUAUUCACAUGUACCAAAUAAUGCCCUUCUUCGUUCCGUCGAUAAUUUUCGUGUCAAAAAUGAAAGUGCAAGCUUGUUUUUGUUCAAAAAUAUGAGAGUUGGACCGUUACCACGGCAACAGUCUAAUACUGGGGAUUCCAGACCGGCAAAGAACCAAUCCGCGCACGCCAUUUUAUCACGAGACUGCGUGCCAUAUAAUAAAUGUCUAAUAUUGAUCUCUGACAUAUCCUGCGAAACAAAUGUCAUGGCAUGUUACUUUUCCAUGAGGUUAAUUUUGUUAGUUAAAUAAUUUAAUUAACAAUUAAAUUAAACUGGCAAUUAUUUGGGGAGCUGACAACUUGCAAUAUAUCUCCAUAAAUUUUACAGCUCAUAACUCCUAAUGAAAGGCAGACCCCAAGGCCAUCAAUCAUAGCCCCAAGCAACAGGGAAAGCCAAGACAAAUCCGGGAGCCAGCUACAAAAUAUUGAUGAAGCCGAGUGUAAGGCUGAACUCCGUUUUGAAAAAGUCGACUUGCCUUUACUGGCAGAAGUCUUGGGGAUUCCUCGAGAGUUUCGGUGCGACCAACGAACCGUUUGUGACGGAAUGGAGGGUUUAUGCAUGCUUCUACGAAGAUUUGCAUAUCCUUGUCGAUACAACGACCUUAUUCCACGAUUUGGCAGGCCUGUACCAGAGAUUUCUAUGAUAACUUCCAAAGUCGCCGAUUUUAUUUAUGUCAAUCACGGUUACAGAAUUAUGAGAUGGUAUAAUAAGAUAUUAGGCCAAGAUAACUUAGAACUCUAUGCUGAAGCAAUUCUCUCAAAAGGUGCUGUAUUAAAUAAUUGUUUUGGAUUUGUCGAUGGCACUGUACGCCCUAUAUGUCGUCCCAAUGUCAAUCAAAGAGACGUAUUCAAUGGUCAUAACAGGGUUCAUGCGCUAAAAUUUCAAUCUGUUGGCAAUACCAAGUGGGAUAAUUGCUAAUUUGUUUGGUCCUGUUGAAGGUAAGCGACAUGAUUUCCGCGAUGCUGGUUGACUCUGGUUUGUUGGAUAGUCUGCAACAACAUGCUUUUUCAACAACCAACCAACCAUUGUGCAUAUAUGGUGACCCUGCGGCAAUAUGUUAUCAGAGGAUGUGUGCCACCAUCCUGGAACCUUACUCUCUUAA